UUCCGGUUGAUCCCGCCGGAGGCCAUUGCUAUUGGAGUCCGAUUUAGCCAUGCUAGUCGUACGAGUUUAGUCUCGUGGCGCAUAGCUCAGCUAACACGUGGCCAAUCUACCCUUCAGCGGCGGACACCCUCGGGAAACUGAGGCUAAUCCCCCAUACACCUCCCACACUGGAACGUCGGGAGGCCCAAACGCUCCUUGCGAGCGCUGGAGGAUGAGGCUGCNGCCGAUUAGGUAGACGGUGGGGUAACGGCCCACCGUGCCCAUAAUCGGUACGGGUCGUGAGAGCGAGAGCCCGGAGACGGAAUCUGAGACAAGAUUCCGGGCCCUACGGGGCGCANCAGGCGCGAAANCUUUACACUGCACGCCAGUGCGAUAAGGGGACUCCNAGUGCGAGGGCAUAUCGUCCUCGCUAUCCUGUACUGUAGGGUAGUACAGCAUCAAUAGCUGGGCAAGACCGGUGCCAGCCGCCGCGGUAAUACCGGCANCUGAAGUGAUGGCCGAUCUUAUUGGGCCUAAAACGUCCGUAGCUGGCCUCGCAAGU
rnacentral:rRNA from 1 species